CGAGCUAUCAAAACAAUUGACCACAAA
rnacentral:sRNA from 1 species